rnacentral:rRNA from 1 species
CCUUCGGGUUGUAAACCUCUUUCAGUAGGGAAGAAGCCUUUUCGUAAGGUGACGGUACUUGCAGAAGAAGCGCCGGCUAACUACGUGCCAGCAGCCGCGGUAAUACGUAGGGCGCAAGCGUUAUCCGGAAUUAUUGGGCGUAAAGAGCUCGUAGGCGGUUUGUCGCGUCUGCCGUGAAAGUCCGGGGCUCAACUCCGGAUCUGCGGUGGGUACGGGCAGACUAGAGUGAUGUAGGGGAGACUGGAAUUCCUGGUGUAGCGGUGAAAUGCGCAGAUAUCAGGAGGAACACCGAUGGCGAAGGCAGGUCUCUGGGCAUUAACUGACGCUGAGGAGCGAAAGCAUGGGGAGCGAACAGGAUUAGAUACCCUGGUAGUCCAUGCCGUAAACGUUGGGCACUAGGUGUGGGGGACAUUCCACGUUUUCCGCGCCGUAGCUAACGCAUUAAGUGCCCCGCCUGGGGAGUACGGCCGCAAGGCUAAAACUCAAAGGAAUUGACGGAAUCACUA